CAGUAGCCACGGGAAUACGUAGGUGGCAAGCGUUGUCCGGAAUUAUUGGGCGUAAAGGGCUCGCAGGCGGUUUCUUAAGUCUGAUGUGAAAGCCCCCGGCUCAACCGGGGAAGGUCAUUGGAAACUGGGAAACUCGAGUGCAGAAGAGGAGAGUGGAAUUCCACGUGUAGCGGUGGAAUGCGUAGAGAUGUGGAGGAACACCAGUGGCGAAGGCGACUCUCUGGUCUGUAACUGACGCUGACGAGCGAAAGCGUGGGGAGCGAACAGGAUUAGAUACCCGCGUAGUCCCUGUCUCUUAUAA
rnacentral:rRNA from 1 species